GACGAACGCUGGCGGCGUGCUUAACACAUGCAAGUCGAACGGAAAGGCCCUGCUUGCAGGGUACUCGAGUGGCGAACGGGUGAGUAACACGUGGGUGAUCUGCCCUGCACUUCGGGAUAAGCCUGGGAAACUGGGUCUAAUACCGGAUAGGAGCCAUUUUUAGUGUGAUGGUUGGAAAGUUUUUUCGGUGUAGGAUGAGCUCGCGGCCUAUCAGCUUGUUGGUGGGGUAAUGGCCUACCAAGGCGGCGACGGGUAGCCGGCCUGAGAGGGUGGACGGCCACAUUGGGACUGAGAUACGGCCCAGACUCCUACGGGAGGCAGCAGUGGGGAAUAUUGCACAAUGGGCGCAAGCCUGAUGCAGCGACGCCGCGUGGGGGAUGACGGCCUUCGGGUUGUAAACUCCUUUCGCUAGGGACGAAGCUUUUGUGACGGUACCUAGAUAAGAAGCACCGGCUAACUACG
rnacentral:rRNA from 1 species